CCUACGGGAGGCAGCAGUGGGGAAUAUUGCACAAUGGGCGCAAGCCUGAUGCAGCGACGCCGCGUGAGGGAUGACGGCCUUCGGGUUGUAAACCUCUUUCAGUAGGGAAGAAGCGAAAGUGACGGUACCUGCAGAAGAAGCGCCGGCUAACUACGUGCCAGCAGCCGCGGUAAUACGUAGGGCGCAAGCGUUAUCCGGAAUUAUUGGGCGUAAAGAGCUCGUAGGCGGUUUGUCGCGUCUGCCGUGAAAGUCCGGGGCUCAACUCCGGAUCUGCGGUGGGUACGGGCAGACUAGAGUGAUGUAGGGGAGACUGGAAUUCCUGGUGUAGCGGUGAAAUGCGCAGAUAUCAGGAGGAACACCGAUGGCGAAGGCAGGUCUCUGGGCAUUAACUGACGCUGAGGAGCGAAAGCAUGGGGAGCGAACAGGAUUAGAUACCCUGGUAGUCCAUGCCGUAAACGUUGGGCACUAGGUGUGGGGGACAUUCCACGUUUUCCGCGCCGUAGCUAACGCAUUAAGUGCCCCGCCUGGGGAGUACGGCCGCAAGGCUAAACUCAAAGGAAUUGACGGCNGAGAGNGCGAGACGACGACGAGGGAGAGG
rnacentral:rRNA from 1 species